CAUUUUAACGUGUUGUGUGGGAGAAAGAUAUAACUCCAGGCCAAAAACUUUCUGGGUUUAUAACAAUGAGGGGACGGUAAGCGUACUGGGUGUUCGAGCUUCAAUCAAGCUGCUGCAACUUUGGGUUUUGUGUUUCAUGCUUUUGGUCACCAUGAAAAAAAUAGUAUGCCAGUGGGAACUGGGAACUAUAAAACCUUCAGGCAUCAGAGGCAAGAUAAUGUUCAUUAAAAACGACACAGGCUGUCUUUGAGGGGUUCAGACACAUGCCACCAAUGUUAGUCCCAGCCUCAAUGCCCAACAGAAGAAACUCACCUCCCAAUCCGACCCACGACCACCAUUGGUUCUUUCCUACGAACCAUCGAACUCAGGAUAGUUCGUUGUAAGGCUAAGAAGCGAGAUAUUUGAGGAAAAGUACGUCAAGGCAGCCAACGAGGAGAUCUACAAAGUUGUCCACAGACAGACAGAGAGAGACACGACAUGGUCAAGUACUUUGGGGAACAAUUAUCUUCUUUUGCCUUCACCGCCAAGGCGUCAAUGGAUGGUGCAAUCAUAUGGAUCUCGUCUUGUCAAGCCACCAAUUAUCUAUGUUGAUGUCAGCCAAAGACCGUGACCGUCCUCUCGUCCUCCAUGGCUCAGGAAAUGACCAAGUGCCCAAUGAGAAUCAUGAAGAAAGUUAGAUAUUAGUGGUAUGUUGGUUUAUACUCAAUACAAGUGAAUGUUUUGAAACAAUUAUAUGAUCACUCUUCCGCAUCUCAAUAACGAGACUC